AUGGAGAGAUCCCACAAUCAUCUGCAACCUCACAAACCUGCAGGGGCUCGACUGUCUAAUAACCAUCUCACGGGUGCAAUCCCUGUGGAAUUAGAGAAUCUUCACUUCCUUUCACGAUUCAACAUUUCUAACAACAACCUAGAAGGACCUAUUCCAGCAACAGGCCAGCUGAGCACGUUUCAGGCUUCUAGUUUUGACGGGAACCCAAAGCUGUGCGGCUCUGUGCUUACUAAUCAUUGCAGUUCAGUUAAAGCCGCUACCGUCUCCAUCAUCUCUGCAAAAGAAUACAGCAUGAAGGUCAUCUUUUCAGUUGCCUUUGGUCUUUCCUUUGUGAUAGGGGUGCUAUAUGACCAGUUAGUAUCAUUCAGAUAUUUUGGCUAA
rnacentral:rRNA from 1 species